UUGACAGUUUGGCUUCCCUGUUCUGGGUGGCAAAGCCUGUGGAGUACUCACCUACCUGCUGCAUGAAGGCAGCAUGGAGGGACUGUGGUGGAUUAUCUGCAAAGAUGGCCAAAAUUCUCUCAUCCCUGCAGGCACAUACAAGGUUGUUGCAUGGCAUAAGUAAAAUGACAGCCAAAGGAUACAUGCAACUUUUCAGGGACAAAGAUCUGUGCAGCAUCGACAGUACUGCCUAAUGAGGUUUCACCAUAAUGAAGUAUUACAACCAGUUUACAGACCAGAAAACUGAGACACAGGAAGGGGUGGUGACUUGAGCAAGGUGCAUCAGCUGAAAAGUUGCUAAAACUGCUGUGAGAUUCUGGCUAAGAAAGUUUCAUGAGAAGUUUUACAGAAAAAUGUGAACAGAAGACAGAACUAGAUAUAAAUUUGAAUGUUUUGAGAAGAAUGCGAAGAAGAAAGGAAGAGUGAGCCUCUCUUUCCCAUCGUUACCCUCCAUUGUCCUCUUGACACCCUGCUUUCACAGAGAAAGAGUUUGAGACCCUCUCCCAGGAGCCAAGGAGAGGGGAACAGCUGGCUUCACAUCAUCUUUCUAUUCAACAAGAUACAAAAAGCUGAAGCCAGGAUGAUAGAAAAGCAACAAAGAAGACACGGUCCUUACUCAUUUCCCUUCCCGCUUCAGAGCAAAU
rnacentral:lncRNA from 1 species